GUUGUAUGGUUAAGUGACUAAGCGUACACGGUGGAUGCCUGGGCAGUCAGAGGCGAUGAAGGACGUACUAACUUGCGAUAAGCGCAGAUAAGGCAGUAAGAGCCGUUUGAGUCUGCGAUUUCCGAAUGGGGAAACCCAACUGCAUAAGCAGUUACUGUUAACUGAAUCCAUAGGUUAACAGAGCAAACCGGGGGAACUGAAACAUCUAAGUACCCCGAGGAGAAGAAAUCAACCGAGAUUCCGGUAGUAGCGGCGAGCGAACCUGGAUUAGCCCUUAAGCACUCGGUGAAGUAGGUGAACAAGCUGGAAAGCUUGGCGAUACAGGGUGAUAGCCCCGUAACCGACGCUUCAUCGAGCGUGAAAUCGAGUAGGGCGGGACACGUGAUAUCCUGUCUGAACAUGGGGGGACCAUCCUCCAAGGCUAAAUACUCCUGACUGACCGAUAGUGAACCAGUACCGUGAGGGAAAGGCGAAAAGAACCCCUGUGAGGGGAGUGAAAUAGAACCUGAAACCGUGUACGUACAAGCAGUAGGAGCACCUUCGUGGUGUGACUGCGUACCUUUUGUAUAAUGGGUCAGCGACUUAUAUUCAGUGGCAAGGUUAACCGUAUAGGGGAGCCGUAGCGAAAGCGAGUCUUAACUGGGCGCUCAGUCUCUGGAUAUAGACCCGAAACCGGGUGAUCUAGCCAUGGGCAGGUUGAAGGUUGAGUAACAUCAACUGGAGGACCGAACCGACUAAUGUUGAAAAAUUAGCGGAUGACUUGUGGCUAGGGGUGAAAGGCCAAUCAAACUCGGAGAUAGCUGGUUCUCCCCGAAAGCUAUUUAGGUAGCGCCUCGGACGAAUACUACUGGGGGUAGAGCACUGUUAAGGCUAGGGGGUCAUCCCGACUUACCAACCCUUUGCAAACUCCGAAUACCAGUAAGUACUAUCCGGGAGACACACGGCGGGUGCUAACGUCCGUCGUGGAGAGGGAAACAACCCAGACCGCCAGCUAAGGUCCCAAAGUAUUGCUAAGUGGGAAACGAUGUGGGAAGGCUCAGACAGCUAGGAUGUUGGCUUAGAAGCAGCCAUCAUUUAAAGAAAGCGUAAUAGCUCACUAGUCGAGUCGGCCUGCGCGGAAGAUGUAACGGGGCUAAGCAAUACACCGAAGCUGCGGCAAUGUCUUUUAGACAUUGGGUAGGGGAGCGUUCUGUAAGCCGUUGAAGGUGAAUCGUAAGGUUUGCUGGAGGUAUCAGAAGUGCGAAUGCUGACAUGAGUAACGACAAAGGGGGUGAAAAACCUCCUCGCCGGAAGACCAAGGGUUCCUGUCCAACGUUAAUCGGGGCAGGGUGAGUCGACCCCUAAGGUGAGGCCGAAAGGCGUAAUCGAUGGGAAACGGGUUAAUAUUCCCGUACUUCUGACUAUUGCGAUGGGGGGACGGAGAAGGCUAGGUGGGCCAGGCGACGGUUGUCCUGGUUCAAGUGCGUAGGCUUGAGAGUUAGGUAAAUCCGGCUCUCUUUAAGGCUGAGACACGACGUCGAGCUGCUACGGCAGUGAAGUCAUUGAUGCCAUGCUUCCAGGAAAAGCCUCUAAGCUUCAGAUAGUCAGGAAUCGUACCCCAAACCGACACAGGUGGUCGGGUAGAGAAUACCAAGGCGCUUGAGAGAACUCGGGUGAAGGAACUAGGCAAAAUGGUACCGUAACUUCGGGAGAAGGUACGCUCUUGAUGGUGAAGUCCCU
rnacentral:rRNA from 1 species